rnacentral:rRNA from 1 species
GACGAACGCUGGCGGCGUGCUUAACACAUGCAAGUCGAACGGUGAUGCUCCAGCUUGCUGGAGUGGAUCAGUGGCGAACGGGUGAGUAACACGUGAGCAACCUGCCCCAGACUCUGGAAUAAGCGCUGGAAACGGCGUCUAAUACUGGAUACGAAACUGGCCCGCAUGGGCAUGGUUUGGAAAGUUUUUCGGUUUGGGAUGGGCCCGCGGCCUAUCAGCUUGUUGGUGAGGUAAUGGCUCACCAAGGCGACGACGGGUAGCCGGCCUGAGAGGGCGACCGGCCACACUGGGACUGAGACACGGCCCAGACUCCUACGGGAGGCAGCAGUGGGGAAUAUUGCACAAUGGGCGAAAGCCUGAUGCAGCGACGCCGCGUGAGGGAUGACGGCCUUCGUGUUGUAAACCUCUUUCAGCAGGGAAGAAGCGAAAGUGACGGUACCUGCAGAAGAAGCACCGGCUAACUACGUG